rnacentral:snRNA from 1 species
GUGCUCGCUUUGGCAGCACAUAUACUAAAAUUGGAACGAUACAGAGAUUAGCAUGGCCCCUGCGCAAGGAUGACACACAAAUUCGUGAAGCGUUCCAUAUUUUU